rnacentral:lncRNA from 1 species
UAUUGCGUUAGCCGGCGCACGAUGUUGACGUAAGCAGGAGCCCACAUUGCUUUUCAACAAUCAAAAAUGUCCAGAAUACGUUUGUGGAAGACCGAAAGAGCGCAGUGUGAUAUCAAAAAAUAUAUAAAGAUGCCGAUGAAGAAGUGAAUAAGGGAUUUCGUACGUGUAGCUCAAGCUACAAGCCUUUAUAGAGCUACAAGAUUUAAUAGAGCAAAAGUUGUUUUGUUGAUUGUUAAAACUAUGUUGGUAAGCUUAUUAUGUUAAACAUUUCUACAAUAAAAGAUAUUAU